GGUGGUGGAGUGUCGUUUUCGGAGGUGGUGGGUGCUCGAUGGCAGGUGGUGGGUGCUCGAUGUCGGAGGUGGUGGGUGCUCGAUUUGAUUUUGGUGACUGUGGGGUUGAUAUGUUUUGGAUUGGAUGGCGAUGAUGCAAAAAAAAAAA